CUUUUCUUGACACACAUAGCAUUCAAGCACUAGGUUUGGUGUCUGUGCUUGCUCCGCCAGUCUGCUCUUUCCUAACAAUCUCUUUUCCUGGUACUGCACCGAGGAGCCACACUGCUGCACGCCAGCCACAGUGCACAGCAGGAUGGAUAGACAUGUUGCCAAGGUCAUAUGUUUGAAAUGCAGUUUGGGGACAUUUUAGAGAGGAGCAAAAAGUGAGCAAUGGACAUAAAUCGAAGCAAGAAAAAUCCAGCACUCUUGGGAUUUUGAAAAACCAGACAAUCUCUAACUUUUUCAUAUCAAGGACCUCCAAAACAGGUGCAUAUGGAAUAAAAUGAGGGUCAUAUGUAUUGUAGCUGUGUGUGUCACCAUAUCUAAAUGCGUGAAAACAUUCUUUAAUAUAUUCAAAUGUGUGAUUGUGUAAAAACAUUUUGAGCAAAUGAAUUCAAAUGAUUGAAUGUGUAAAAAAUAUCUUAACAAAUAAAUGUAAUUUUUGAAUCCGUAAGGAGGCUCGACGCUGUGCAUGACAUUUUGUGAACAAAACUAACCCUAACCCUAACCCUAAGCCCAACCCUAACCGUAUUUUAAUGAUCUAAGCACACAGUCUGAAUCGCAUGGCGCAAGUGCAUU